rnacentral:lncRNA from 1 species
CAGAGAAAGUCUGGCCUGACCAGGCGUCUGCCCACGUCUUCCUGGCUGCUUGGGUGACACCGCCCAAACGCGGCUCAUUAUUCUGUUUUUCUUCCUUGCCUGAGCAAGACAAUGGUGGUGGUGGUGGUGAGGAAUGUUUGCUCUGCCCUGUUAGACUGACAUUGAAUCAGAGCAUUUGCUUCAAGUAGGGGAGGGAGAAGCGCGCGAGGGGUAGGGGGGUGGGGGUGUCUCACUGCUCUGCUCCUCCCUGCUUUUCAACUCCCAGGUUGUCUUGUUUAGUCCCAUGGAUUCCCAAAGUGCCUUGGUUGCUUGCUUCCUCUGUCCCUACCAGCUUCUGCCUGGGGCUUUGCGGCAGCUUCUGAGGGAGAGUAACGUCGCAGGGCAUCUCUGAAAAUGGAAAGGGCUGCCUGCAGAAGGAGCUGGCCUCCCUGCCAUGGGGAGCGGGCAUGGGGCUUAUUCACUUUGAAGAAAAGGGAGGUACUCACAUGCAGCCAGCAGGGAACUAAAGCUGGUCUGAGAAAAUUCAAGUGCCCCCCCUCCCCCCUACCCCUGUUCAUUACUUGUUUUGCCUGGUGGAUAUUAAAAUGCAAAGAAGUUGAGAAACAUACAGCGCUCUGAGGGUCAGAGGCGGGGUGCUGCAGCAGGCUUUGUCCUGCUGGUAAAUGGAAAAGCACCAUUUGCCCAGUUGAUGAGAAUGUCCUGUGCUUGCCCUUUGUGACAGCCGAGAACCCCAGGGAUGGUAUAGCUCUAUGUAGAGAGGCAGCAGGGGGUCGUGGGUAGGUCCUAGAUUGGGUGGAGAAGUUGAGUAUGAUUUGAGUGUCAUACUCAGCUCUGCCAAAUUCAAACCUCUAGCCUGGGUAAGUUAUGACUCUUCACCUCUCCAUCUUUGGAAAGUGUGGACUAUGGCAGGCUUAAGGUCCCUUCUGUAAAUUUUAUUCAGGAAGGAGAGAUUACAAAUGCUAUACCAAAAGUACAUGUACGUCAUCCUUUGGGUCAAAUGGAAGGCACGAGACGUUAACCUACAGUGUGAGACAUGAAGUGUGGGAAGGGACUCACAGAUGUGCUGGGCAGGAUAGGGAUGUGUCUCGUUGCAGGGAGGCUUCAAACACAACUUCAAAAAUUUUUCAUUUUUGAAGGAUUUAGAUAGAAAUAAGAACAGCCUCUUGAGUGGGGACUAUGACCCAAGUACUGGGGGAGAGGAGAACCUAUGAAGAAGGCCAGCUUGUGAGGGGCAGGGAGGACUCUGGGAACUAUAGUGAAGCCUGUCUUGUGCCACAAGGAGCAGGAGAGGAGAGACCUGUUCCCAGCGGUGAUUUCAAUGAGUGACCCUGCUUGGAGUGACAUUCACCAACAGCCCAGCCAGAAGAGGUGAAAGGAAACCAGGUAAAAAUCAGGAGAAUGGGGAAUGAAAAUCACACUCACUUCACAUUUCAUCGCUAGACUGCAGGGGAAAGAGAAGAUGCCCCAGCAGCAGAAAGCUUAGCUGGGAACACAGGCUCUGGGACGAGAAGAGGCACACCCAGCCGGGCUCACUUCUGACCCUUUGCUGAACUCAGUCUUGCCCCUGCCCAGAUUAAGGGCUAAGCCAGUCCUCAUCGUCAGCACAGCAGUAUCGAGAGGAAGACUGCGGCUGCUCUAAUUGCUAUGAAGUCUCUUGCCCUCAAAACCCUGAAGCACCAAAGCCUGAAUCCUUCCCGCGAAACACUGACCUCUCUCUCUCGGGCCCAGUCAUGCCCACUGCCCAAGUGCAGCAGCCGGGGAGAGCAGAGAUUGUUCUCAUCAUCGCCAAGGGCCGUGGAGAAGAGGAUGCUAGGAGACUUGCCUAUGAAUGAGGGCUUCUAUCUCACAUGUCCUCAGCCUUCUCAUGUUGGCCUUGACUUUCCAUCCUCAGUCUUGUGGUUGGCUGAAAUGUGGGCAUGUGGGUGGUAGGCAAGGACAGGUGCCCUUCUUUCUCUUUCAGAUCGUUCCCCCUGCUUGGCUGGGCUGCUUCUGUGUUCCCUGGAGAUGACAGCUAGGAACCUGGCCACCAGCUUCUGUUGUUCCCUGGGUUCCUUUUGGGCUUGGCCAGUGUGAGACAAGGGCAGGACAUCAGAAGUUGAGAGAGCAUCUCUUCCCCAUUGCUGCCUUUGCUGCCAUGUUUUGUCCCUGACAGGAGCUAUGCCCCUCCAUUCUGUGGCUCUCCCAGGUGACAUCCUGUAGGGUCUCAGCUCUCAAUAUAGACCAGCCACAUUAUUUCUUCCCUUGGCUCCUCUGGGCUCCAGGAUGACAGCAUCUCCCUGCUAUUACCAGUUCCCAGGGGGAGUUGGGGGUGGGGCCUCAGCAUUCCUGACACCUCCCAAUGAUCUAUAAACUAUUCCUCUACUGACA